rnacentral:lncRNA from 1 species
GCAAAUCUGACAUGGAUAAAAUUGUUUAUCAGGUCAAGAUCUAUCUGCCCUGAAAUUUUCAGAUGAAUCAGACAACCCGUUGUUGGGUUGCUGCCCCUGAAUAUGUAAUUUUAAGGAAAUUUUGCUGUUUUUGGUUAUUAUCUUGAAUAUUAUUAUAGAUAAAGAUAAACUGUAAACAGCAAUAAUGUUCAGCAAAGUAAGAUUUACAAAUAAGUCAACAUGAAUGAAAUGGUCAGUUGACCCCUUUAGGAGUUAUUGCCCUUUGUAGUCAAUUUUUAACCAUUUUUCGUAAAUCUUAGUAAUCUAUUACAAAAAUCUUCUCCUCUGAAACUACAUGGCCAAAUUAAUCCAAACUUGGCCACAAUCAUCUUUGGGGUAUCUAGUUUAAAAAAUGUGUGGUGUGACCCGGCCAACCAACCAAGAUGGCCGCCAUGGCUAAAAAUAGAACAUAGGGG